rnacentral:tRNA from 1 species
GCGCCCUGGGCGGCCCGGGUCACCGUGCGCCGGAUGACCGCCGACGGCGCGGUCGUCGCCGAGGCGUCGCUCGGGGCCGACGUGGACGCGC